UACUCUUCCCAUCAAGUAUCAGCAAGGAGGAGGUGUUCCACGCGGCCAUUAUCCACAGCCACGCGUGUCUUGGCGAUCAAUGGGUGAAGAUUACGCGGCGGGUUUCGAUAGGUCAAACAAAACUUGUUGGUACCUACUGUGAAAUGUUACAUGUGCAGUUGGAAUGAAAAAUCAGUAGCAUGGUUGCUGUCGACAAAAAUAAUAAGGCUUGACUUGUUCAGAGAAGCGGUCUUAGUUCAUCCUCUGAGUUUUGUCAAGACUCUAAAAACCGGGGACAACCAAGAAAUGCUUUGAUGUGAAUCUGUCGUCGAUCUUCAAAACAGGACAUUGCUAUACGGGGAACUAUAUCUAACACUAUUGGAUAUCUUUCGAUAGUUGCCGUCUGAUACUGCCCGAAAUGUCUAUCGGCGACUCUGUUCUCGAUUUCAAACAAGACCAGCACAGAUUUUCGAGUCACAAUUUACUACGUAGCAAGUAGUUAUAUGUUCCGUAACUCAAGCUAAAACCGUGAUGGUCACAUCCUUUUCGAACCAAACGGUAACCACUGUACUGCAUUCAGCCUCAACUUUGGCGGUGAUUCAUGCAGGGAAGGCUAUCCUAGGUCUCGUAGUGUUUCAUCUUCAGCCGCUGUUUGAACUCGGAUUCACGCUAUCCCGCGUGCCUUCCUAAAGGGGCUGAACCCACGAUUGGUUGGUAACUAGGGAGGCUCUUCGGCUGUUCUGUAAUGAAGUAACUGCUCUCUAGAGUCUCUACACACGGAGUCUAUUGGUAAGGUGUCUUGAGUCACUAAUGACACAGCUUCGGUACAUAUGGUUGGAGGACAUGGUAGAGUUACAGGAUAUCAUGUCAUGAUUCUUUGCGACAUUCCUGUAUGAAAUAGAUCAUGCCAAAGAGACCUGAAUAGUACGUGUAUCUGUUGAGACAAAGCGGGUGGCCUCGAGACUAGUCAAAUCAUUCGAACAUGUAAAGAUGCCAUGUUAGACGGCCACUUUGAUGAGUAGAGAGGAGCAUGAGCUACCCACAGGCACCAAAGCCUAACACGUAGUUCAGAUAUCUUGGAUGAAGCUGAAAUCAUGUCCUGAUUGGACUUCAUCCUCUGUGCACUGGGCGCAUUGACCAGGGGCUCUUCAAGCACUGAUCAAGGAUGUGCCACGUACCGUUCUACAUAUUCCAAAAGAGCAAGGCUUGAGCAAUGCAUCUUGUAAUGUCGCAAUCGUCUGUUCAUGAGCGAGAUGUACUUCGUACGGAGUAAACAGAAAUGAAAAAAAAACGG
rnacentral:lncRNA from 1 species